rnacentral:rRNA from 1 species
GAACCCGAAUAUCUGAUAUGAGAAAUUCAAUAUUAUUUAAUAUGAUUCAUUUUUGAAAUUAUAUUAAAUAGUAUGCACUUUUCUCAUAGUAAGACAUUGUAAUCCAUUGAUAUUAUAUCUUUAUUUGUUUAAAGAUGAUUUAACAUACGGACAAAAUGUAUAUGAUUAUUCUAUUAAUGAUAUGUUUUACAUGUCAUAUGAAUAAAAUCGUUUUGUACCUGUUUAAAUAGUCGAUGGAUUUUUUAAUUAAAAUCAUGCUUGCAAUUUAUUUUGCGUUUCGUAUCAUUAAUUUUUAAUUGAUGAUAGCAGAAAUGGCAUGUAUUUGAUUAACAAUGCGAUAGAUUUGGGAUGCCUUCGGGACCCGUCUUGAAACACGGACCAAGGAGUCUAACAUAUGUGCAAGUCAUUGAGUAUUUUGUUGAAACUUAAUGGCGUAAUUAAAAUGACUAUAAUUUUUAAUUUGGGAUCAAAAGUAAUGUUCAAAUUUAUGUAUUAUUUUUCAAUCCCGGGGCGUUCUAUACGAACAUGAUAUAAGCAAUUAUGUCCUCUGUUCAAGAGCGUACCUUGAGCACAUAUGCUGUGACCCGAAAGAUGGU